GGCUCAGGAUGAACGCUAGCUACAGGCUUAACACAUGCAAGUCGAGGGGCAGCAUGGUCUUAGCUUGCUAAGGCCGAUGGCGACCGGCGCACGGGUGAGUAACGCGUAUCCAACCUGCCUUACACUCUUGGACAGCCUUCUGAAAGGGAGAUUAAUACAAGAUGUUAUCAUGAGUAAGCAUUUUCGCAUGAUUAAAGGUUUACCGGUGUAAGAUGGGGAUGCGUUCCAUUAGAUAGUAGGCGGGGUAACGGCCCACCUAGUCUUCGAUGGAUAGGGGUUCUGAGAGGAAGGUCCCCCACAUUGGAACUGAGACACGGUCCAAACUCCUACGGGAGGCAGCAGUGAGGAAUAUUGGUCAAUGGACGAGAGUCUGAACCAGCCAAGUAGCGUGAAGGAUGAAGGUUCUAUGGAUUGUAAACUUCUUUUAUACGGGAAUAAACGAAUCCACGCGUGGAUUUUUGCAUGUACCGUAUGAAUAAGGAUCGGCUAACUCCGUGCCAGCAGCCGCGGUAAUACGGAGGAUCCGAGCGUUAUCCGGAUUUAUUGGGUUUAAAGGGAGCGUAGAUGGGUUGUUAAGUCAGUUGUGAAAGUUUGCGGCUCAACCGUAAAAUUGCAAUUGAUACUGGCAGUCUUGAGUACAGUUGAGGUAGGCGGAAUUCGUGGUGUAGCGGUGAAAUGCUUAGAUAUCACGAAGAACUCCGAUUGCGAAGGCAGCUCACUAACCUGUAACUGACAUUGAUGCUCGAAAGUGUGGGUAUCAAACAGGAUUAGAUACCCUGGUAGUCCACACAGUAAACGAUGAAUACUCGCUGUUUGCGAUAUACAGUAAGCGGCCAAGCGAAAGCAUUAAGUAUUCCACCUGGGGAGUACGCCGGCAACGGUGAAACUCAAAGGAAUUGACGGGGGCCCGCACAAGCGGAGGAACAUGUGGUUUAAUUCGAUGAUACGCGAGGAACCUUACCCGGGCCUAAAUUGCAACAGAAUAUAUUGGAAACAGUAUAGCCGUAAGGCUGUUGUGAAGGUGCUGCAUGGUUGUCGUCAGCUCGUGCCGUGAGGUGUCGGCUUAAGUGCCAUAACGAGCGCAACCCUUAUCUCUAGUUACUAACAGGUUAUGCUGAGGACUCUAGAGAGACUGCCGUCGUAAGAUGUGAGGAAGGUGGGGAUGACGUCAAAUCAGCACGGCCCUUACGUCCGGGGCUACACACGUGUUACAAUGGGGGGUACAGAAGGCCGCUACCUGGUGACAGGAUGCUAAUCCCAAAAACCUCUCUCAGUUCGGAUCGAAGUCUGCAACCCGACUUCGUGAAGCUGGAUUCGCUAGUAAUCGCGCAUCAGCCAUGGCGCGGUGAAUACGUUCCCGGGCCUUGUACACACCGCCCGUCAAGCCAUGAAAGCCGGGGGUACCUGAAGUACGUAACCGCAAGGAGCGUCCUAGGGUAAAACUGGUAAU
rnacentral:rRNA from 1 species